GCAUCAAAUACAAGCAGUCCUCACCAAUUGCAGGUUGAUUGUUACCUUCAAAAGCCCCUCGAGCCGAGCUCUUGCACAGACCAAAUUCAACAGGCGGCUCAAAGUCUCUCUCAUCUCUCUCGUUUUUUGGCUUAGAACUUGCGUUUGAGAAUAUUUCUUAGGGCAAUUUGAUAUGGCUGGGAGAAACCGAGGUCCUCGUGAAGCCUUCAAUGACAGGCAUGGUUACGCACUUGAAGGGCCUUUCAUUCGGGGACCUCCAAUGCCUAGGCCUCCUCCUCCUCAUCCUGCUUUGUUGGAGGAAGAGCUUGAAAUGCAGCAUGCUGAGAUGCGGAGGCUCUUAGGCGAUAAUAGGAUGCUGGUUGAAGACCGUAUGGCUCUGCAUCGAGAGCUUGGUGCUACUAAGGAGGAGCUUCAUCGCAUGAAUAUCAUUGUUGCUGAUGCCCGUGCAGAACAAGAAAUCCGCUGUAGGGAGCUUAGGGAGAAAGGUCUGAAGCUAGAGGCUGAUCUCCGAGCUGCUGAGCCUCUGAAAAAUGAGGCUGCACAACUUCGCACAGAAGUUCAGAAGUUGAAUAACCUUAGGCAGGACCUUGCAACGCAAGUUAAGGGCCUCACUCAAGACAGUGUAAGAUUGCAAGCUGAUAAUCAACAGAUUCCUCGUUUAAAGGCAGAGAUUGAUGGGAUGCACCGGGAGCUUAUGCAUGUUAGAGCGGCACUUGAUUAUGAGAAGAAGGCAAACAUUGAGCUGAUGGAACAGAGACAGACAAUGGAAAAGAACUUGGUUUCCAUGGCUCGUGAAGUUGAGAGGCUACGUGCAGAAUUUGCAAAUGCUGACAGUAGGCCAUGGGGUUCUGGUGGACCAUAUGGGACAAAAUUCAGCAGCUCAGAUGGCAUCUUUUCUGCACCUUAUGGAGAUGGCUAUGGGGUUCACCUGGGCACUGCUGACAAAGGUCCUCGGUAUGGUCUGGGUCCAGCUUCAUUGGGCAGACCUGACAAGCCUCGCACGACUCGUCGUUGAGAUCUUGGUGAUUACUGCUCAAUUGGAGAAUUGGCUUACCUGUUUCUUUUGAUGUCCAUUAUCCAUAUAUAAAUGGGCGAGAAGUAUAGAUGGCUGGUACUUUUGCUUGGAAGGUAGAGGAAGGGAAAGGAUGAGUCAGAUAAACUUAUGCGAUGCUGGCUAAAUGAUCUUUUAGUGGAUAUUUAGCAUCACAAUUGGUGCUGAAAGCAAUUUUCAUACAUGCUUGCCCCUUACUGCAUGUUCUUUAAGGUACUCGAAGUGCUGUAGGCAAGCAGCAGAUACAUUCCAAACACAUUACCGGAGCAAUCAGUUCGCCGUUUCUGGAAAUUGUUUUCCAGAGGCAGAUACUCAGUUUGCUUGAAACCGCAAAUCAGCUUCAUUCAUUCAGAGUAAAAACCAGCCAGGUACCCCACAUUAACCCCCGUCUUCCACUUAAUUUUUUAAAGAGCUGCUUUAAGGAUGUUAUGAGGAAGGAGGUGACGCUUUUGGUCCUUUGGGGAGGUUUUGAUGGAGAGUCUGGGUGGGGAGAGAGGAGUGCCUUGUGAUCGGUGUGGUGGGAUCGGGCAAGGUAGUUAUACGUCAUGAUUUGCUUCUGCUCUUUAGAUAUCCCGAUCUUGAGCCAAGCGGAGCGGAGGGGUUGGGAUGGUUUCGCUGCAAAAAAAUAAAAAAGAAAUAAAACAGGCUUUUGAUGCUUAAGCGUAAAAGUUAAAUAUUUGUUAAUAGGCUUCAUUCAAAAAUAUUUUUAAUUUUAUAUAAUUACCGUUCAUUUUAAAUGGAGUUGUGGACUAGUUGUAGGUUUAUCAUUUUCCUUAAAAGUUGAUACGGACUCAAUUUUGAUGUUUUAUUUUUUAUUAUUUUUUAUAAAAUUUCGAUGUUCUCUUUUAAA